rnacentral:misc_RNA from 1 species
AAGAGACGUUUGCCCUUCGGGUAUACCUCCCACCCUUUGUUUAUUAUACCUUUGUUGCUUUGGCAGGCCCGUCCUCGGACCACCGGCUUCUGCUGGUCAGUGCCCGCCAGAGGACCUAAAACUCUGUUUGUUAAUAUUGUCUGAGUACUAUAUAAUAGUUUAA